ACGAGUGGCGGACGGGUGAGUAAUGCGUAGGAAUCUACCUAAUUGUGUGGGAUAGCCUAGGGAAACUUAGGGUAAUACCGCAUAAGCCCUACGGGGGAAAGCAGGGGACUGUUAAAGGCCUUGCGCGAUUAGAUGAGCUUACGUCGGAUUAGCUAGUUGGUGGGGUAAAGGCCUACCAAGGCGAUGAUCCGUAGCUGGUCUGAGAGGACGACCAGCCACACUGGGACUGAGACACGGCCCAG
rnacentral:rRNA from 1 species